AAGACAAGAAGUGAUUGAGAAUUAUGCCAAGGACCUUCCUCCUAUAUACCUAGACAUUGUGCAGCACUCUGAUCUUUCAACAUUAUCAUGGGCUCCGUUAAUGUUCAGGUACCCGUGGAAUGUAGUAUUCGGGAACCUAGGGAAGCAAAACAUCACGGUGGCUGGUGAUGCCAUGCACCCCAUGACACCUGAUUUAGGACAAGGAGGUUGCUUGGCAUUGGAAGAUGCCGUGGUCUUGGGUAGAUACAUAGGGACAUCAUUUGUACAAAAUGGACGACUCGUGCCAAAAGAGAUAGAUAGUGCGAUAGGGAAAUACGUGGAAGAAAGAAGGUGGCGUGUCGCGCUGUUGACUGCAGGAUCAUAUUUAUCCGGAUGGGUGCAGCAUUUAGGGCCUGGAUGGGUGAGGAAGUUCUUGAGGGAUGCCAUAUUUUACAGGUUUAUUUUCACUAAACUUGUUAAACUUUCACAUUAUGAUUGUGGAAAACUUGAUUUCUAGCUAGGGCAUUUCGUUGUCCAAAAGAAAGAAGACAAUCAAGAUUCCCUCCUCUACGGAAUUAAAUUAUUGAUGGCCUUUCAACAAGGAUCAACGAGAGACAGGAAUCUAGGGAGAACAGAGAAGAUUUAUGGAACCUAUUAGCUAUAACAUAAAUUAAUACUUUCACAUAUUGCUGCUUUGUUGUUGAUGUAGUGCAUUUUGAACAGUAGUUGAUAGCAAGGCAUAUUGAUGUAGUCUGAGAUGAAUAGCUAAAUAAGCAGUAUAUACUUUGUGGAGCCUCCAAACGCGUAAUGGAUAAUUUGUUGAUAGAAAAUGUUUGAUUAUACAUCUGAAGAAGAACCUGCUUCUUUACGAUAAAGAAGCCCAGAUUGUUUAGGAUGAUCCAAUGAACCAUUACUUCCCAAGAUUAUAACUACAGACGUGCAUCGACUACAAAGAGAAUGCAACGUAACGCUUACGAUAGAGAACGCAAAUCUCCAAAACCUUUACCAAUCACUUCCAAAGGCCUUCCUUAGUUCCAUACUAGAAAAUACGCAUGCGUGUUGCUGCAGGAACCAACUAUUUCAGGCGUAAUCAGAUGAAUAAAACACAUUUUAAGUUGAAUAAAUUCAACACAAUUUUGAAAAAACAAAGGAAUACAUGAAUAAAUGAGGUCGAUAAGAUAAACAGCUUGGCUUUUAUAUACAUUCAACUGAGCUGACAUGUAAAGACAUUGUAGAAUUAGUAGAACGAAACUUAACGUCCUUGAUCACAAACACGUGGUCGCCAAAAAUGUUCUGUUACCAUAAGAAACAGAAGAAACAAAAGGAACAUGCAGUUCACACAUAAUUUGCCUUUGUAGUUAAAGCUAGCAAAAUAUAUGUCCUGUAAGGCAAGCACCUAUUUUAGCAGUUAAUAAAAAACAUAGAAAGUGGAUACCACCCAAAGCAUCCUUUGAACAAAUUAAGAAAUUCAAAUAAAAUUAAACACCCAAGGAAAUAAUAAACACAGAAAAGAUAUGCUUGAACUGUUAAGCAAAUCAAGAAUACUAACAUAAAUAAAGAUAUGCUUGUACCGUUAAUCAAACCAACAAAAAUAAAAAACAAUUAACAAUGUGAGAAACGACAGCAAGGAUACCAGCAGCAGGCACAACCUUCUCCGAUGAAGCCAUUGGAGCACCUGAAUCGGCAACGAAGAAACAGAGAAAUCAAUCUCCAAUCACCAAACAAAGAUUCAAACCCAAAACUGCAUAAUUUAUCAUAAAAUUCACACAAUUGAUUCGAGUGCUUCCAUUGAACUCUUAGGAGAUCACAACAUCUUUUCAGUAAUCGGGAUAAAAUAAAUUCAAAAUACAAACACAUUGCAAUGAACGAAGACGAAACAACUGUAAGAUCGAAAGCAAAAGUGAAACUGACCAAUUCUUUUUUACUCUCCUCUAAUGUUUCAAGUAUACCCUUCUUUUAAGCUUCUACGUCAUUUUCGGUUUCAACUGUCGUCUUUGGGUCACCAAUGGAUUCAUCUGAUUGACCAGAUCGACUGGCAUCCAAUGCCGUUUGUGCAUUUUCGAGUUCAUAUCUCAAAUUCCUUUCAUUCUCUUCCAUCUCCUGAUAACGUAUGUCGUACCCAGUGCACAAGGCUCCCAUUAACAAAAAAACAAUAUACUCAAGUCUCACCAUUAGCUUCCUCUUCAGCAAAUCUUCUUCUAGAAUUUUCUCUUGUAUUUUAUUUUCAAACGAUAUUGCCCUUCAUAUUCAGCAUUCUCUUCCUGCAAUGUUACCUCCCUCAACUGUGUCUGUCCACAAAUGCAAAUGGGAACUAUUAAGAAAGAUUAAAACAUCGCCUUUUUUAUACUCCAAACUUAAACUACACAACUCCAUAGCCAAAAAUAAACAAUCACAUAAAACCAAGAUAGCAAACAGAGAAAACGCAUUAAAUCAAGUACAUCCUUGAAUUUUUUAGCAUAAAGAACAAAUUUUAGAUACAAAAUAUAUUGCCGCAAAGCGAAUACUAAUAAGCUUUCAGGAGUGCAAGUUGUCCCCUAAGCAAUUCUUAAGCCAAUGUAAUUGGCUUCAGAAUUCUUGGUUCUCUUCACAUAAAUUUUUGGUUAUUGUCAUUCGAUUCUGCCGGCUUCUGAACUAAAGCAUUCUGAAGUAGAAUUGCACCUUAGGAAGCCACUGAGCUAUCCUUCUCCACUUCAGUUGUAUCUGAGCAAUUUAAAAUGCCAUCAGCCAUCUCUAAUUGUGACAAUUCAUUCAACUUAAUUUGGUUAUCAUUUAUAUCCUAAAUCAAACUAAAACUUUAUCCCACGAAAUUAAACUUCUAUCGCAUCCAAUUAAACUACCACAACAACAUACUGACAAAGUGAACAUGGAAAUUCAUAUACCAUUUGACAAUACCAAAUCAAGAAAUUUCUAAAGACCAAAGACAGAUCCUACAAAGCAGAAACCCUAUCUCAUAUGCAUUAAAAUCAUUGACAAAUUCUUGGUGAAUCAUCAUAAAAUUAACCCAAUUUCUCAAUUCCAAAAACAGGAAAGAUUAAGAAAGGGUUCUGAGUUCUCACCAUAACCAAAAUAAACAUAUCGUUUCAGUUUGAACUGAGGUCAAUUUCGGUCAUCUGCAUUAACAGAAACAAUAACUUCUGUCAGUGCAUUCAAACCAAACCCAUAAAUCAAUUCCUAAAAUCAACUGCAAAUCACAAAGUUACCCAAAAAAAUCCCACAAAGAACCAAAAUACAUGAAAAUUACUAUAUUAGCACUCCCUCCACCCCAAAAUCAGAAAAUUUGAAAUUAGAGUUUGAUAACAUUGUACUUAGAAAGCAAGGAAUCGAUAAUUUAGGUGGUUUCCCAGGACAAUAAUGAGCUUGCAGAGAUCAUAUUCAUACAUGGAUGCACAAAUACACACACUACAGAGACCAUUUGAUGAAAAAAUAAAAAAUAGAGAUGCUCAGAGAUUCAACACACACUAUACAUAGAUCCAUGACCUAGAAUUUCUCAGAUCCAGUUGAAAUUAAUAAAAUAAAAUAAAAAAAUUUAGGGACAUGAAUUUAUACCUCUGACAAUCUGAGCUCCAUUCCCCUGAUUCCUUCGCCGGCUUGGUGCAAACCUGAGGAGAUCGGCAAUUAAGGAUAAGAAAGCAGGCGACGGUGGUUUAGUUUUUUUGAGAGAAAAUUCGAGUGAAAAGAAAAAGGAGAAGAAGAAGGGGAUGCCCCUUCCCUUCUCAGAUCGUCAAUAACAUCUGAAGUACUAAACACCCAUACACUAUAUUUACACACAUACGCUAAUCAGCACUCUUAACAUAUCAAUGGUCCAACAAUUAUGGAGCUCGAAAUUUAUAUAAGAAAGGGCCAAUCAAAUCAUAAAUUAAAAUGAAAAUAUGUACGUAAUUAAGAAUUAUUACUUGCUGAGUCAGUUCCUUCUUGUCACUUCAAGAAUUCUUCAAUUCAAACCAAUUCGAUCAAACUGCCUCACCCAACAAAACAAAAAAUAAAUAAAUUAAAAAGAAAAUCAGGGGAACUAAAUUAAAUAUACACUGACCUACUUUCUGGCAAGAAACCAAAAAGAGCGAUUAAAUAGCAGUGCACAAUGACGGAAUUUCUAUGAAAAAAUAUGAAUGAGUUCUUGAGGUUCCUGAUAUCAUUAGAAACUAUUUAUGUGUCAAGAAAAUCCAUUAUUCAAACUGCAGACAGGUUACAAAAAUCUGACAACUUAUGAAUCGUCUCUUGAGCACCUAGGAGUGGGUGGAUCCGGGUCUUGAAAUAUGAUGUUUUAAAGAACUGAUCAACAUGAAAAUCAGAUGUCAAAGCAAAGUAGACAACCAAUCAUGACUAUGCUUAAAAGAAACGAAAAAAGAUAUGGCAGGAGAAAAAAAAAUGUACAAGUAAAGUUUCAGCAGCAACCUCAAAACAUUUAUCAGUUGAAGCAUGCGUUUCUAAUAAAUGGCAUCUCAACAUCCAACAUUUACACAAUUCCAUACCACACAACAAUCCAAAAACAGAUCAAACAGUUAGCAAAUGUCUGAAUUAAUAAUUUGACCAUUAAACUAAACGAAUCCGGUGAUUUAAUGCAAAGAUGGACACAUUUGUAGUACCUUCAUCACGUGAAUAGUUCCAUAUCUGUAACAGAAAAACAAAUUUUGAUGCAUCAGGAUAAUGUUCAAGGAAAUGUAAAUAUUUCCCCAACAAAGCAUAUCAAAGAAAAGGUAACAGAAAAUGUAAACUUUGGCACCUUUAUUGUUCGUAACAGCAGGAUGGCAUUAACUUUCAAUCCUGGCACAAAGCCAACUGUCAAAAGGAUGUCAUAGGUCACAUCACAUCCUUUGCUGGUACAGAGCAAUCUUCAUCACUUCCAUCACCACAAACCUCUCUCCACUUAACCUAAACAAUCACAUUUCAUCCGAAAUCAGUAAAGACUUGAACUUGCUGCAAAUUAAUAAACAAAAACCCGGCAAACACGAAAAACACAACCACAAAACCUCUAUGAAUUCAUGGGUAAGAGCAUCUCUUCCAAAAAUUCCACUUAAAGUAGAAAUGAUGAAUGGAACACUGGACAUUCUAAGGUCAAGUAAAGUACUUCAGAAUAAGAUAAAGAGAAGUAAGAUUCACAAAUCUUGGAAUACAUAAAAAAGGGCGGCAAGACAAAAUUGCACUAUCCCCAUUGAAACCUACACUGACAUUCAAAGGUAACAUUUGGAUUAAAGACAAAAUUUAACACCUUCUCGAGUUUAACUAAUUUAAAGCGGCAAAUAUAUGCAAUUCCUCACGGAUUCCAAGACUACAUUCAAAGUUUAAUCAAAUAUAAUAAUCAUAUUGCUUUGGCAUUUUAUUCCAAUUAAUUUAAGGGAAUGAAAGCCAAUCACUUUGCAAAUGCCACAUGAAACAUACCAUAUGGGUUUAAAUUGCUACUCCAUACACUUCACAUAAAUAAUAGAUUCCAAAUCCAGUCCAAAUUCACCUGUGGCAACUGUGGUUCCUUUGAUCCUGAAAUAACAACUAUGAGGAGUAAGGCCAAGGUUAAUACCAGGACGUAAACAGGGAUACAAACAUAGACCAUAAAAGAGAAUAUAGAGCAUUUUCUCUAUCAUUUCUCUAUCAAGUCGUCGUACCCAGUGCACAAGGCUCCCGCUUUACGCAGGGUUUGGGAGAGGUGAAUGUCGGCUAGCCUUACCCCCAUUUAUGGAGAGGCUGCUCCCAAGUCUCGAACCCAAGACCUACCGCAUUUCUCUAUCAAGUGUAGCAUGUAAUUAUUUAUUACCACAUAGUUGGUGCAAAAUAUUUGAUAAAAAUGAAUAGGCUAAGUAUGGGAAAACUUCACCACCAUUAAUUCAAAACAGUUAUUUAAAAGGAAAUUCAAAAUAAAAUAAAAAAACAAAAGAACUCGCCUGGCAAAUCCUUCUCCAGGAUCUUCCACUCUUCCCGAAUUCUCUUUGCCACAGACACAAUCGUCGGAGUUUGGGAACCGAAUCCUUUGUUUGGAACUGUUGCAGAAGUGACCGACUAUCAGGACCACGGCAUCUUCAAGGGCUGCAGGCAAAGCAAAGUUGAGAUAAACAACAAAGAACUACAAAGAUUUGAUCUUUAUUAAUUUAGUGAAAAAACCAAUUCAUAUAAAACAACAGUUUCCACCACCAUAUUCAUUUCAACAGCAAGAACAGAAACCGCAUAUAAAAGAAAUUUAAAAAAUUGAAGAAACAGAGGUAAUAACAAUACCAAAUCCAGGCCCAUCGGGUCCCGCGCAGUGUAAUCUGCUUCUCUGAGACCAUUUGUUCCAUAAAAUCUGACGCCUUUGAGCUCCAAUCUGUGCGAACACUUCCAGAGCUUGAAGGAGUGCAGUGAAAAAUGGGUUUAGAAAGCAGGGAAGAAAGUGCCAGAAGCUAAAACCCACUAAUCAUUUUUUACUUUAGAUUCUCAGAUUCUGUCACUUUGUCAUCGUUUCUCCCCUUUUUCUUGUCAGCUCACAACAAAACAAAUAUCUUCUGAGUUCUCUUUCUCUCUUUGCAAUUCCCACACCCAGCUCCCUCUCAUCUGUCUCUGACAUCCCCUCUCCCUCACAAUCUCACUGAGUCGAAACCCCUAGCUCCCAUCUCUCUCCAAUCUGUCAGUCCCUCUGUCCUCCUCCCCCAAUGACGCUCUGACCAAAGCAACAGGCACGGUCAUCUCACCAAAUCCCUAUCUCUCUCCCUCCCUCCCUCCCUCUCUCUGCUCGCUCGCUCUCUCUCCCAACGGCAUGGUCUCACCAAGUCCCACUGCAGCUCAGAAUACUUCUCCUCAGUCACUCCAAAUUGCUAAUUGGAUUACACUCCGAAGCCCACAUUUUCUACACAAUCUAAAUGUAACUCUCACUAAGCCACAAACACACAAUUUGACAUCUCAUAAACACUGAAAUAUAACCAUUUCAGGUAAGCAAUGCAAGAUCCAUAAACCAAGACGAAUUACAAUAAAACAAAAUUGAAAAGAAAGCAAGAAUUUACCACCAAUGUAAACAAACCUAAGCAACUAUGUGUAUUAGACAUUUAACCAAAUCUCAUGUAACAAAAUUAGUAACUCCCUGUUCACUGACUCAUAGUCCACUGCACUCAAAUUCAUUGUCUAAAAGAUAUAUCAAAUUUGGUAACAAAAAUGAUGCCUUUCGAUAUAGAGAAUGUUAGGCAACCAAUGAUUUAAGAUCCAAAAAGUUCCCAACUCCAGCACCUUUAUGUGACCAAAAAACUUUACCAAGUGAGCACUGAAGCAGGCCGUUAUAAAUCUACUCAUAGUUGACUGAGUUAUCACUGUUUCAAAUAAAGAAGAAAGGAAGAAGGAUAUUCAGUUGCAGUCGGCCAUUCUCAGAGAAAGACAAAAACUUCUAUGUUUGAUUAUUUCCUGGUUAUUUCUUGUGACCCGAAUCACAAGUUUACCUUGCAUCAAAAUAAAAAUCACGUGACCAUGCAUAUAUAUCACAAUUUAUCUAGAAACCUUCAGCAUUUGAUGAUUCGAAACUUGAAAGGAGCAAUAUCCAGCCCAUGCAUUACUGCAUGGUUUAGGUAUUGAAAAAGUAAGAUGAUAGUGGUACAUCCUUUACACGUUCUGAAAUGUAAUCUUUUUAGUUUGGGAAAAGAUUCUUGCUUGAACAGGUAUUAUAGAUCGUGCAGACAGUGUUUCAUCGUUAGGGUACUGUGAUUUGCAGACAUGGGAUUGGCACCCAAUACUCAACUCAUUUUAACUAAUAUGCGUUAAAAACAAUCAUCCACUAAAUCCCUAUUUCAAUGGAAAAAAACCAAAAAUUACUUAUGACGAAGAUGAAUAAGUUGCAGGAUUUAUUAGAUUAGCACAUAAUAUUGCAGUAUCAGACUCCACCUAAGUAGCUCCUGCCAAUUUUAAUCAACAGAUAAGCACAAUAAAGCACUUGCAAUUGAACCAGAGAAAUUGCAAUACGCAUAAAAUUAAGCUUAAAAAAAGUAUAUUGUGCGUGCAGCUUCUGGAAAGUGUGAAAAUCCAAAUUCCAACUCAUACAAUCAUAACUGCAUAAGAGAUAACGAAAUUGAUUUCACGAAUUCAUCAAACAUUGAGAAUUCAUAACAAAAUUGUGGGAAACAACUUCAACCUCCACUACGCCAUUCAAAUUCCUAGUCCUCAAAUUAAAAACCAUAAGAUUCCAACUUUCGUCCAAAAAAGAAAGAUAAAACAAUAAUGUAAAAGAAAAAGCAUACAUUAGCGAACCCGGCAAAGAAUUCCGCCGGCGAUUCUGCAGAAAAAUUGAAAGCAUGGCUAAUGAAUAUUCAAACUAAAACAUGCGUACAGAAAAAGAAGGCAGAGAGAGAGAGAAACUCUGUUCCAGAACGCUAUCUUUGGGCUUUCUGCGCGUCUUCGAUUGGCGUUUCUUAGGCUCCGUCUGGCUCUUGCUGCUCCCUCGAGCUUCCAUUUCAAACUCCCAAUCAAAUCUUCGCCCCAAAAAAAACCGUCGAUCCUCUUCGAAUUCGAUCAAUUCUAGAGACAGAGAAAGGAGGAGUAAGACGACGGAGGCGAGAGAAGGGAGACGGCGGCGAGAGGAGGAUAGGAUGGAGGCGAGGCCGUCGUUCUCGCGGGGUCUGCGAGACGGAAGAGGCAAGGAGGGUUUGAGAAAUCCCUGGAAAUCAGCCUAACCCUCAAAUCCCGACGGCCACAUGCUUUUCUCUGACUGUACCCCCUCUCCCACUAUGAAAUCGAGGAUCCCCACUCCUCCGUCUCCCUCUGUCUCCCUGAAGCGGCAUGGCCUUCCAUCCCCGAAACCCUCACCGAACGAAGAACAAAGAGGCGGUGGUAAUUUUGUAAAUAAAGCGAAAGUUGGGCUGAAAUCAGUCCGGUGGCAAGCUCGUAAAUAAAGUGAAAUUUCAAUCUGAAACUGAAAAGGCGGUGGUAUUUUUGUAAAUAAGUCAAAAUCCACCCCAAGUCACUGUUGAUUUGAAUAGUGCCAAUUUCAAACCUUACUUUAGACUGAAGUUGUAUAACCAUGCGCGAAUUAUGUCAAAGCUUCUUCAUCAAUUACCAUUUAAUCAGUCUAAUAUAAAACAAGUGUUGAUGUUUACAGACAUUAAUGCUACAUUUUUUUUCAUACAAAGAUAUUCUACUCUAAUGGAGGGGAUAUUCUACUCCAAAAGAAAAUAUUUGUCUUGGCACAUAACGAUCCAUCCAUAACUAGUAUCGAAUUCAUGUUUAGGUACCCGUGGGAUGUAGUAUUCAGGACCUUCCUCCAUGUUCAAGUACCCGUUAAUGUUGUAUAACCAUGCGCGAAUUAUGCCAAGGACCUUCCUCCUAUAUUCAUAGACAUUGUGCAGCACUUGGAUCUUUCCACAUUAUCAUGGGCUCCAUUAAUGUUCAGGUACCCGUGGGAUGUAGUAUUCGGGAACCUAGGGAAGCAAAACAUCACGGUGGCUAGCGAUGCCAAGCACCCCAUGACACCUGAUUUAGGACAAGGAGGUUGCUUGGCAUUGGAAGAUGUCAUGGUCUUGGGUAGAUACAUAGGGACAUCCUUUGUACAAAAUGGACGACUCGUGCCAAAAG
rnacentral:lncRNA from 1 species